rnacentral:tmRNA from 1 species
GGGGGUGACCGGUCUCGACGGGAACACCUAGGCGAGGCGGCAAGCGGAGCUCCCGCAUGCUCCUAAAACCUGCGGGAACGGCAAAAUAAAUGCCGACUAUGCAGCUGUUCCUGCCUACGCCCUGAACUAGCGUAGGCCAUCCUCAGGGCCCGGGCCCGCGGGGCCUUGUGGGUGUGGACUUAGCGGGCUAGCCCGGGUGGCGCGCCUCCCGCCUGCCGGGCGACAUCUAAGGAGGCUGGGGCUGCGGGAUCCUGCCCGUGGGAGCCCAAUGCCCAAGAGACAAAGCACGGGCUAAGCUUGUAGAAGCCGAGCUGACGGUGUUUCCGGACGCGGGUUCGAAUCCCGCCACCUCCACCA